rnacentral:rRNA from 1 species
UACGUAGGGGGCGAGCGUUGUCCGGAUUUAUUGGGCGUAAAGAGCGUGUAGGCGGUCCGGUAAGUCAGCUGUGAAAGUCAAGGGCUCAACCCUUGAAUGCCGGUUGAUACUGUCGGGCUAGAGUCCGGAAGAGGCGAGUGGAAUUCCCGGUGUAGCGGUGAAAUGCGCAGAUAUCGGGAGGAAUACCAGUGGCGAAAGCGACACCCUGGCAUUAGCCUGACGCUCAUGUGCGAAGGCGUGGGGAGCGAACGGG